rnacentral:rRNA from 1 species
GAGAAAGAACUACAAGGAUUUCCCCUAGUAMCUGCGAGUGAAGCGGGAAAAGCUCAAAUUUAAAAUCUGGCAGUCUUUGGCUGUCCGAGUUGUAAUCUAGAGAAGUGUUACCCGCGCUGGACCGUGUACAAGUCUCCUGGAAUGGAGCGUCAUAGAGGGUGAGAAUCCCGUCUCUGACACGGACUACCAGGGCUUUGUGGUAUGCUCUCAAAGAGUCGAGUUGUUUGGGAAUGCAGCUCAAAAUGGGUGGUAAAUUCCAUCUAAAGCUAAAUAUUGGCGAGAGACCGAUAGCGAACAAGUACCGUGAGGGAAAGAUGAAAAGAACUUUGGAAAGAGAGUUAAACAGUACGUGAAAUUGCUGAAAGGGAAACGCUUGAAGUCAGUCGCGUUGGCCAGGGAUCAGCCUCACUUCUUGUGUGGUGUAUUUUCUGGUUGACGGGUCAGCAUCAAUUUUGACUGCUGGAAAAAGACUUGGGGAAUGUGGCAGCUUUUGCUGUGUUAUAACCUCAUGUUGCAUACAGUGGUUGGGAUUGAGGAACUCAGCACGCCGCAAGGCCGGGUUUCGACCACGUUCGUGCUUAGGAUGCUGGCAUAAUGGCUUUAAGCGACCCGUCUUGAAACACGGACCAAGGAGUCUAACAUGCCUGCGAGUGUUUGGGUGGUAAACCCAAGCGCGUAAUGAAAGUGAAAGUUGAGAUCCCUGUCGUGGGGAGCAUCGACGCCCGGACCAGAACUUUUGGGACGGAUCCGCGGUAGAGCAUGUAUGUUGGGACCCGAAAGAUGGUGAACUAUGCCUGAAUAGGGUGAAGCCAGAGGAAACUCUGGUGGAGGCUCGUAGCGAUUCUGACGUGCAAAUCGAUCGUCAAAUUUGGGUAUAGGGGCGAAAGACAAUCGAACAUCUAGAGU